rnacentral:tRNA from 1 species
GGGAGUGUUCCCGAGUGGCCAAAGGGGGCAGACUGUAAAUCUGUUGUCAGCCGACUACGGUGGUUCGAAUCCACCCGCUCCCACCA